GCCGUCCCGUGGCAUAGCCGGUCAGCGUUGCCGUGCGUGCACCCGGGACCGGGCCGCGGGAGAGCCGUGCGGAAACAGGGAUCCUCCAGGGCAGCAUUUGGGACUCCCAAAGUUGAAGGACGAUCUGAAUCUUUCCAUGGAAAGGAAGAAGACAAGAAUACCAUGACAGAAGUGACUACGAGGAAGCAGGAUGAUGCUCCCCAUACUUCUCAACUAUCUGAGUCAGAAGCUACAAGAAGAUGCCCCUAUAAAGUAUGCACGCCACUACUCCAGGUAGUGGCUACAACUGGUUCUCCUUCCACGUGAUCUACCACACACAUCCUUGCAAUGCUACAGAGCCAACAUCGUGUAGAGCACUCAGCUGAUGGGCAGGUGCAUGACACCAAACAAGCCAGGUACCAGGCAGUAUGCUGUAGCACAAUGUGCCUGCAGGUGUCAUAGACCACAUCCAUCCAGGAAGCAAGCUCUUUGAAUUGGAUUCCUCCUCCCUUGGGAGAUUUGGGGAUCCUAGACUACAUCAGCUGCUUCUAUUUUCAGCUUUCUUCUCUAAGUAUGUGGCCAGACUGUGACAGGUACUGACAGCUGUUUGUUCUAUGAGCUGACUCAGAGGCUACUAUCUUUUUUAGGCAGAUCUCCACUUUCAGCCAUGUACCUGCAAAAUGCUGUGACAAAUUCCUGUAAAUUCGCUGUCCAAAGCUUUAAUGCCAUUCCCUAAGUAACCUCACAUCUUCUCUGGGUAAGAAAAACAGAUUUGUGUAAU
rnacentral:lncRNA from 1 species